rnacentral:rRNA from 1 species
UACGUAGGGUGCGAGCGUUGUCCGGAAUUAUUGGGCGUAAAGGGCUCGUAGGCGGUUUUUUGCGUCAGGGGUGAAAACUCGGGGCUUAACCCCGAGCCUGCUUCUGAUACGGGCAGACUAGAGGUAUGCAGGGGAGAACGGAAUUCCUGGUGUAGCGGUGAAAUGCGCAGAUAUCAGGAGGAACACCGGUGGCGAAGGCGGUUCUCUGGGCAUUACCUGACGCUGAGGAGCGAAAGUGUGGGGAGCGAACAGG